GUCAUAGUAGCAUAGUUCAUGCAGUCCCCUUUCCAGGCAUAUAUUCUGGGUUAUUAAUUAAUGAGGACCGUCAAGGGGGCUAUUAUCAAACCAAUGACAGCUCCUGAUUGAUGUGACAAGGGCAGCAUAAAUGCAGGAAAGAAAGAGAAGAGCUCUAUCAAAGGGAGGCAUCUCCACAGGCAGCAGCCGUCGAUCAUCACGGAUGACAUUUUUGGGGUGUUGUUUAUCAAGAUGCAUUUGUCAGUCAGUGCACUGUUUGGUCUCGGGAGCUGUAAUUUCCAUUGGUUCCCCUGAUAUUGGCAGCCAGAAAACAGUUGCCUUGUGAGGAAGCAGCAAAAUUCAUGGGAUUUCCUCUGAGGAGUGGCCACUUCGAGGCCUCUGGAUGAAACGGAUCCCCUGCCUCUUUUCUGGAACCACAAAACAUCUGGCACCGCAGCUGCUGAAAUUUCACCAUGUUUCCAUUUGAGUUGAGCAUGCCAUUUCCCACAUUGGUUCUGCAUCCCUGGGAUACCAGCCUUUUCUUGUACUUGGAAGUUCACCAUCCACGUAUAAUAAAACAUGGAGGAUUGAGUAAGAGAGAAAUAAUGCCAAAUGGCUGCUGCCGGACCGUAACACAACCGAGUGGACAGAAUACAAGCUUGCAUGCAGAAGAUCCCAAGUUCAAGGACUGGGUCUUCAAUUUAAAGUUGUCUGAGAUGCUGGAGUGUUUUUGAGAAAGCAGAAACGCCUGGAUUAGAUACAUACAAUCUGCUGUUCCCAGAAGACAAACCUACGGAGUGAUCUGAAAGCCUUAUGCAAAAUGUGGAAAGUUGAGAGCGAUGUGUAUUUCUUUAUAUUCCUUCCCUCUUCCCUCGUGCACUAUUGAUGAAUUAAGCUUUCAAAAGCGUGGAAAGUCAAAAUGAAUUGACUUCGGCAAUUGUAGCUCAAUCCUAAGGAGCCCCUUUCUGAAGACAACCAAGAGAGUGCUUUGCAGAUCAAUAAUUGAUCUUCUUGUCCUAUCUCUUUUUCCCUUGGAUGGGUCAUUAGGCAGGAAAGUUAGAAAGCAGGCAAAUGCCGGUUUCUAUGGAAACAACAGAAAUCUGCAUUUCUUCCAAUUCAGUGGGGAAGCUGCAAUUUGUAUGCAAAAGACACACACCUUUGUAACCAAGACAGGAAGGUGAGAGAACAGCAAGGCUUACCCCCAGCUGGACCUGCAAAGAAGAAGGAAAAAAGACAGA